AAAUGCAUGCCUUAUCUCUCUCUCUUUCUCUCUAAAUUCUUGCUUCAUUAAUUCUUGUUCUUGCUAGAUUUAUAUUAAAUUCAUCAUUAUUAUCAUUAUAUAAUCAUCAUAUCAAAAUUUGAAAGCUUAGGGUGAAAGAAAACUUGAUUUAUAACUUAAUUUCGGGUUUUUAGCUUCCGUGGAGUUUCGGUCGUGAACAUUGAAGAUUCCUGGAGAUUUGUAGCCCGUUGGAUACUUAUAACUUGAUUUUAACUUGCUUCCAAUCGACAAAGGUUAACCAAAGACGUGUUGGAUGAUUUGAUUGAUUCGAUGCAUACUAGGAUUGGACUUGGGCUAUUCAUAGAUCCCGCUCAUGGGUUAUGCUUAGGAUCAUUUACCAUCUUUUGAACUAUUAUUUUGUAAACGUUUGAUGGGCGUGCUCCUUAUGCAUUAUUCUUGAUCCGAUAUUUGUUUCAGAAUGAUUUGUAUGGAUUUCCAAUCCUUUUAAUGCAUGUAGACUUGUCUAUACUUAAUUUC